rnacentral:rRNA from 1 species
AUUGAACGCUGGCGGAAUGCUUUACACAUGCAAGUCGAACGGCAGCACGGACUUCGGUCUGGUGGCGAGUGGCGAACGGGUGAGUAAUGUAUCGGAACGUGCCCAGUCGUGGGGGAUAACGUAGUGAAAAUUACGCUAAUACCGCAUACGAUCUAUGGAUGAAAGCGGGGGAUCGCAAGACCUCGCGCGAUUGGAGCGGCCGAUAUCAGAUUAGGUAGUUGGUGGGGUAAAGGCCCACCAAGCCAACGAUCUGUAGCUGGUGUGAGAGGACGACCAGCCACACGGGAACGGAGACACGGGCCAGACUCCUACGGGAGGCAGCAGUGGGGAAUUCUGGAGAAUGGGCGAAAGCCUGUUCCAGCCAUUCCGCGUGCAGGAUGAAGGCCCUCGGGUUGUAGACUGCUUUUGUACAGAACGAAAAGGUUUCUACUAAUACUAGGAGCUCAUGACGGUACUGUAAGAAUAAGCACCGGCUAACUACGUGCCAGCCGCCGCAGUAA